rnacentral:lncRNA from 1 species
UAUGGAGCCACCACACUUUUUGUAGCUGGAAACAGGAGAAUCUUCUCCUACCGGCAAUCUCUACAGCUCCACUUUCUUCUCUUCUCCAUUGCAGGUCUAGGUUCAAGAGGAAGAACAAGGUGUGAUUCUUCACCCUCAUGUAGAGCGCGGUCAAGUCAUCCCGGCGGUGAACCCGUGUUUCUUCAUUGGCGCCCACCGAGUAUAUGCUAUACAUUUGUUGAUCACAUCUCGUUUUAUCCUCAGAUCUUCAGAUCUGUGUUCUUAGAGUCACACUCUCGAUCUUCGAACGGAGAAACCCCACAGAUCUGUGUUACUUUUCCCAAAACUUCUAGAUCUGUGGUAUUUCACUGAUUUUAGUGUUUAAAAAUCUAGAUCCGACAAUCACACCUCGUUUCUCUCUACUCGACUUUCAGAUCUCAUUCUUCUUACAAACUUCCAGAUCUGUUUUAUUAGAGCUCAAAAAAGGAAGUUAUCGAUAAACAUUUCAUGGAUCUGUUCAGUGAUCUGAAUCCGGUCUCUUCUUUCUCUAUUGCAAUUUAUUUUGCAACCUUUUUCUAGGAUCUUGUGUUAUCCUUAUCCCAUAAUCACAUAUACUAAAAUGUGGUGGGUUUUAUGUUAGUGGUAAGAAACGUCAUCGUUUGACGUAUCACAGUAGCAAAUGAAAUGAAAAAGAAAAAAAUUCUAUAAUGCAACUUAUGUUCCAC